rnacentral:rRNA from 1 species
AGAGUUUGAUCCUGGCUCAGGACGAACGCUGGCGGCGUGCUUAACACAUGCAAGUCGAACGAGGUGCUUGCACCUAGUGGCGAACGGGUGAGUAACACGUGAGCAACCUGCCCCUGGCUCUGGGAUAGCCUCCGGAAACGGGGAUUAAUACCGGACAUUCACUCUCAUGGGCAUCCUAGAGGGUGGAAAGUUUUUCGGCC